rnacentral:rRNA from 1 species
UUCUCGGGUGGCGAGCGGCGGACGGGUGAGUAAUGCCUGGGAAAUUGCCCUGAUGUGGGGGAUAACCAUUGGAAACGAUGGCUAAUACCGCAUGAUAGCUUCGGCUCAAAGAGGGGGACCUUCGGGCCUCUCGCGUCAGGAUAUGCCCAGGUGGGAUUAGCUAGUUGGUGAGGUAAUGGCUCACCAAGGCGACGAUCCCUAGCUGGUCUGAGAGGAUGAUCAGCCACACUGGAACUGAGACACGGUCCAGACUCCUACGGGAGGCAGCAGUGGGGAAUAUUGCACAAUGGGCGCAAGCCUGAUGCAGCCAUGCCGCGUGUGUGAAGAAGGCCUUCGGGUUGUAAAGCACUUUCAGUCGUGAGGAAGGUGGUGUUGUUAAUAGCACCAUCAUUUGACGUUAGCGACAGAAGAAGCACCGGCUAACUCCGUGCCAGCAGCCGC